GAUGAACGCUGGCGGCGUGCCUAAUACAUGCAAGUCGAGCGAACAGACGAGGAGCUUGCUCCUCUGACGUUAGCGGCGGACGGGUGAGUAACACGUGGAUAACCUACCUAUAAGACUGGGAUAACUUCGGGAAACCGGAGCUAAUACCGGAUAAUAUAUUGAACCGCAUGGUUCAAUAGUGAAAGACGGUUUUGCUGUCACUUAUAGAUGGAUCCGCGCCGCAUUAGCUAGUUGGUAAGGUAACGGCUUACCAAGGCAACGAUGCGGAGCCGACCUGAGAGGGUGAUCGGCCACGCUGGAACUGAGACACGGUCCAGACUCCUACGGGAGGCAGCAGUAGGGAAUCUUCCGCAAUGGGCGAAAGCCUGACGGAGCAACGCCGCGUGAGUGAUGAAGGUCUUCGGAUCGUAAAACUCUGUUAUUAGGGAAGAACAAAUGUGUAAGUAACUAUGCACGUCUUGACGGUACCUAAUCAGAAAGCCACGGCUAACUACGUG
rnacentral:rRNA from 1 species